ensembl:lncRNA
GGGGGAGGGGAAACCUGUUGGUGUGAUCGAGGCGUCGUCCUGGCCCGCAAGCGUUCCCGGAAGUAUCGCGAUGUUGCGUCUCUAGGUUUAGAAACCGUGCCAGUACACUGCUUACUAUCUAUGGUGGAAAACGCCGUAUUUUCGAAAUGGCAUACCUCGAGUUCAAGUUUGAGGACGAAAUUACAAAAUACAUUCGGGAACAAGAAUUGGAAACGUCACUGAAAUUCAUAACAUUGAGAAAGGACAAAAGUUUUGGGCAAAAGGCUUGAAGACCAUACCUUUCUACAGAAACGGAAACUGGUACAAAAUACCAAAAAAGUGGACUGCAAGGCUAUAAUAAACAUCGCCCACAUUAUUCGCUUUCCUGAUUUUAAGAUUGAGGAAAGUACAGUGUGCUCUAAAAAGGAGGCCUCCCAAACUCUGAAGGCAGCACUAAGUGAAACACCCAGCUCCGUGAAGGCAGAGGUUGUCUACUGCGUCAGGUUCCCCUCCCUCUCUGAGCACAGCUCACAUGCAGUUGUUGGCGAGGUAAAUAUAACUAUAGAACCUAUAUAAUAGACUGUUGGUUAAGUUACCCCCUGACCCACUGGCCCCUUUAUGAUAAACCCAUGUGUUCUUUCUCCAACAGGCAGCUCAUGUUAGGGAAGCUGUAGAUGCCAGGCUGAGAGAGAAGAUUGAGCAGCUGACUCUGUCUGGUGUGAGAAAGAUGACUGAAAUGAAGUGUCAUCUGAACACCUUUGUAGUGGAAGAGCUUUUCCAUGGAGAGCAGCCCCUCCACCUACUCGCAGGCGCUAUUACCCCACUGACAGUGACAUAAGAAAUGUCAUGUUUAAGACCAAGCGGGCCACCGGAGACUCCAACAUUGACCGUCCAUACGAAGGUCCAUCUGGAAGAGGAAAGAAGAGGUCCUCUAGGAAGCUGUUGCGGUUACGGAGGCAAUGUGCAGGAUAUCUUAAAGAGAUCACAGAACUCACUUAUCAUCUCCAAGAGGAACAGUACGUGACUGACCUGUCUUCACAGCUCAGAAGUGUGCUGCUGGAUAUGAAGGCCCAUGUUCCACAGGAUAAAGACCUUCCACUGACCUUUUCUCCAAGGAAGAGAAAAGCUGAGAUGGACAUGGACCUCAUUCCAACCAAGAGUGCAUCACACCCUUUCAUAGAUGGGUUAGAACAGCAUACAGAGGACAUAGUGAGUGUGGAUACCUUGUUGGCAUUGAGCCUAGGGCUGAGGACCGAGUGUGUGGGUCCUUCCACAAAUUGAGUAUAUUUUGGGUAGUGUAACUUUUAUUUCAACUAAUAUUAGCAUUCUGUCAACACAACUUGAUAAGGGGGGGGGGUCAAGAGGGGAGAGCAUUCUUAGUUUUGAAUGUUGUUCUGGAGGCAGCGCUGCGGAGUGCUCACUAGCUGGCACAGUCAUAAAAUCUGAUUUUAAACCUAAUUGUUAACCACACUGCUAACCCUCAUUUCUAACCUUAAAUUAGCUUUUUGAUCUUAACUUGUGUUUGUAUGAUUUCUGACAACAUACAGUGUGUUCGUUAAGUUCAGACACCUUUCCCUUUUUCCACAUUUUGUUACAUUACAACCUAAUUCUAAAAUGGAUUCAUUUGUUAUUUUCCUCAUUAAUCUACACACAAUACCCCAUGACGACAUCACAAUACCCCAUGACGACAUCACAAUACCCCAUGACGACAUCACAAUACCCCAUGACGACAUCACAAUACCCCAUGACGACAUCAAAAUACCCCAUGAUGACAUCACAAUACCCCAUGAUGACUAAGCAAAAGCAGGUCUAGAAAUGUUAGCAAUUAUUUUAAUUUUGUUAAUAAAAAUAAAAUAUUACAUUUACAUAAGUAUUCAGACCCUUUACUCAGUACUUUGUUGAAGCACCUUUGGCAGCGAUUACAGCAGACUUCUUGGGUAUGACGUUACAAGCUUGGCACACCUGUAUUUUGGCAGUUUCUCCCAUUCUGCUCAGCAGAUCCUGUUAAGCUCUGUCAGGUUUGAUGGGGAGCGUCGCUGCACAGCUAUUUUCAGGUCUCUCCAGAGAUGUUCGAUCGGAUUCAAGUCCGGGCUCUGGCUGGACCACUUAAGGACAUUCAGAGACUUGUCCUGAAGCCACUCCUAUGUUGUCUUGGCUGUGUGCUUCGGGUCGUUCUCCUGUUGGAAGGUGAACCUUCGCUCCAGUCUGAGGUCCUGAGCGCUCUAGAGCAGGUUUUCAUCAAGGAUCAAAUCAAAUGUAUUUAUAUAGCCCUUCGUACAUCAGCUGAUAUCUCAAAGUGCUGUACAGAAACCCAGCCUAAAACCCCAAACAGCAAGCAAUGCAGGUGUUGAAGCACGUUGGCUAGGAAAAACUCCCUAGAAAGGAUCUCUCUGUACUUCGCUCAGUUCAUCUUUCCCUUGAUCCUGACUAGUCUCCUAGUCCCUGCCGCUGAAAAACAUCCCCACAGCAUGAUGGUGCAAACCACCAUGCUUCACUGUAGGAAUGGUGCCGCCACCAUGCUUCACUGUAGGGAUGGUGCCGCCACCAUGCUUCACUGUAGG